rnacentral:tRNA from 1 species
GCGGGUAUAGUUUAGUGGUAAAACAGGUCGUUGCCAACGAUCAGAUGUGAGUCCGAUUCUCACUACCCGCACCA